UUUGGAAUUAUAUCGUCGUAUCAGUCGCAGCAGACCUUCGGUUCUCUUGUUAAUUACAGGUCAUUGCGUCGUCUUGUUAAAAAUAUAUCCGCGAUAAUAUUAUCGGCGUUUUGGCUUCUCCUUUGCAGCUAUGAUGUCAUACUUAUUUCUCGGAUUUUUCAGCUUUAUUUUCGUUACUUAUCGAUACCUUUUUCGUCUUUUAACGAUACUCUAAUUAAUAGUUGAUCGUUAAUUAAUCGUGUUCGAUUUUAUUUCGUCGUAUAUACUAUUUUUAUAUAUAAGUUAGACAUUAAUUUUAACAAACUAUCUACUGCAUUGUACAAGUUAAUGUGUUCCAUUGUAGUCUUAUUAUAUAUGCCGUGUUUUGUAUAGGAACUUUUUGUUCUAUAAUAUUUUCGAUUUCUUUUAAAAAAUUUAUUUUUUCAACAUAUUUUACAUUGAAUUAACAUUGAAUUUAAAGAAUAUUAAAAAGCACAAUACAAAUAGUGACAGAAGCCAUGUAAAACUUCAAGGUUACGUGGAUAUACAUAUCAAAAAUUAAAUAAUUGUGAUUAGGUGAGAAAUUUUACAAUAUUAUAAACGCAUAUAUAUAUAUAUAAUAUUUUCUCAAAGUAAUUUAAAUUUCUUUUUUUAAUACGGAUUCGACGAAUAUAAUGCAUAUUGAAUUGGCUCAACAUAUUACAACAGAAUUCAAAGAAGUAUUUUCUGAUAAAAACCCAAAGUAUUUUAACCAACUGAGAGCCAUGUUAAACAGAAGACGUCGCAACAUCAGAAUGAUUAUUUAUGCAUGCAUACAUAUGAAAGUACAUAUGUGGAUACAUUGCGGGCUUAAAAUUGUUACUUAUAUUAUAUAACUAUUUUAAAAUACAUACAGGUUGAAUACUAUCUGUACCGUUCGAUAAAUAUUACACAAAAUAACAAUGUAACAAUCACAAUGUGGAUAUUUGGCCUCGUGUUAAUUAGAGUAUACUAGCAAUAUAACAGUAUUCGAGCAUGCGAUUAAUGAUCAUCUGACAUUCUUUUCUCAUCGAAGAAGAAGGAUUUAUGUCAAAGAUACAAAAGACAAAAUUAUUUCUUAUAUUCAAACAAACAAAAUGUUUUUUCUUCAAUCUUUUGUAACCGUAUCAUAAUAUCAAGAUAUCAUGUACCGUUCGUUUGGAAAGUUCAAGAAGCUUGUAAUGAAAAUUUUAACAUAAAUUAAAAAUAUAUAUGUAUAUGUAUAUAUAUAUAUAUAUAUAUAUAUAUAUACAUAUGUUUUUAAUUUAUAUAUUGGAUAAAUUGGAAAACUUUUACUUGACAUGUUUAUCGCAUGUUUAUCGCGAAAUAAAUAAUUAAAUAUAUAUGUAUAUUAUGUGUGCGUAUUUAGAGAUAGAGAGAGAGAGAGAGAGAGAGAGAGAGAGAGAGAGAGAAAGAGAAUCGUGGUACAAGGCUUCUUAAAAUUUUGAUUAUGGUAAUUCAUUGAUACGAUUUGGACAAAGAAAAAUGUAAUAUACUGUGCUGAGUGCUACGAAUGAGGAUGAUCCUUCAUCAAGGCCUCAUCAAAGUUGACAUCAAGAUAAGUAUCGUGAAUAUCGUGUACGUAGGAGCGAAACUCGACGCUGCCGUUGAUCGUCCCCUCGUGUUCGACAACUCGUAAAAGUACCGACUGUACGCACUAUCACAGUGCGAUGGCCAGUCUUUGAAACAAGCCGCAUAAGCUAUCACAUGAGCUAUGUAGUUUUGUUCGAAUGUACUACGGAAGAGAUGAGAGUAGGGACCUAAAAAUAAUAAAUUGGAUAUUUAAUAGAUAGAAUGAAUGAAAUAGGUCAAUCAAAAAAAAAAAAGAAAUGUAUAAGAGUAAUAGAUUAACUUCUUAAUGCAUGAUUUUCUCUUUUUUCCUUUUAAAUAUUUAGUAAGAUGAAAAUAUUAUACUAAUAAAUUCAGAAGCAUAGAACAUUUAAUAUUAAUUCAUGUGAGUGAAGUAAAAAUUGGAUAAAUAAUAUUGCAAAAAUAUAACAUAAUGCGAUAGAUCCAUUUCAAGAAUAGUUUUCAUAGGUAUCGACAAAGAUUUUCUCAAUUAUAUGAAUUUAAGAGUUAAAUCAAAAUGAAUUUAAUGUAUUUUUAUUAAAAAUAUUCUUUUUUGUU